rnacentral:ncRNA from 1 species
GUAGGGUGUGGCCGCCGUGGUGUUCGGGAAGCCGGUGCGGUACCGGCGCGGCCCUCGCCACUGUGAUCGGGAAGCCGACGGCCCUUGUCCUCCGUGGAGGUCACUGAGCGUUCACGCUCGGGAAGGCCGGCCGUCGGUGUGGUACCCGUCAGCCAGGAGACCGGCCACGGCACGCUCGACCCG